AGUGAACGCUGGCGGUAGGCCUAACACAUGCAAGUCGAACGGCAGCACAGUAAGAGCUUGCUCUUACGGGUGGCGAGUGGCGGACGGGUGAGGAAUACAUCGGAAUCUACUUUUUCGUGGGGGAUAACGUAGGGAAACUUACGCUAAUACCGCAUACGACCUACGGGGGAAAGCAGGGGAACUUCGGACCUUGCGCGAUUGAAUGAGCCGAUGUCGGAUUAGCUAGUUGGCGGGGUAAAGGCCCACCAAGGCGACGAUCCGCAGCUGGACUGAGAGGAUGAUCGGCCACCCUGGAACUUGGACACGGUCCAGACUCCUGCGGUAGGCAGCAGUGGCGAAUGUUGGGCAGUGGGCGCAAGCCUGAUCCAGCCAUACCGCGUGGGUGACGACAACCUUCCGGUUGUGAAGCCCUUUUGUUGGGAAAGAAACGCAGCCGGUUAAUACCCCGCUGUUCUGACGGUACCCAAGGAAUAAGCACCGGCUAACUUCGUG
rnacentral:rRNA from 1 species